rnacentral:rRNA from 1 species
UGGGGAAUUUUGGACAAUGGGAGAAAUCCUGACGCAGCGACGCCGCGUGAGUGAAGAAGGCCUUCGGGUUGUAAAGCUCUGUCAGAGGGGACGAAUAAGAGGAGUCUAACAGGCUCUCUCGAUGACGGUACCCUCAGAGGAAGCACCGGCUAACUCUGUGCCAGCAGCCGCGGUAAUACAGAGGGUGCAAGCGUUAUUCGGAAUUACUGGGCGUAAAGCGUAUGUAGGUGGGCAGGAAAGUCAGGUGUGAAAUCCCGGGGCUCAACUUCGGAAUUGCACUUGAAACUUCUUGUCUUGAGUUUGGAAGAGGGUGGUAGAAUUCCUAGUGUAGAGGUGAAAUUCGUAGAUAUUAGGAGGAAUACCUGAGGCGAAGGCGGCUACCUGGUCCAAUACUGACACUCAGAUACGAGAGCGUGGGUAGCAAACAGG